rnacentral:rRNA from 1 species
UACGUAGGGUGCAAGCGUUAAUCGGAAUUACUGGGCGUAAAGCGUGCGCAGGCGGUUAUGCAAGACAGAUGUGAAAUCCCCGGGCUUAACUUGGGAAUGGCGCUUGUGACUGCAAGGCUAGAGUAUGUCAGAGGGGGGUAGAAUUCCACGUGUAGCAGUGAAAUGCGUAGAGAUGUGGAGGAAUACCGAUGGCGAAGGCAGCCCCCUGGGACGUCACUGACGCUCAUGCACGAAAGCGUGGGGAGCAAACAGG